rnacentral:rRNA from 1 species
AUGGUUCAGACAUAAAAGGUGGCUUCGGCUACCACUUACAGAUGGACCCGCGGCGCAUUAGCUAGUUGGUGAGGUAACGGCUCACCAAGGCGACGAUGCGUAGCCGACCUGAGAGGGUGAUCGGCCACACUGGGACUGAGACACGGCCCAGACUCCUACGGGAGGCAGCAGUAGGGAAUCUUCCGCAAUGGACGAAAGUCUGACGGAGCAACGCCGCGUGAGUGAUGAAGGUUUUCGGAUCGUAAAGCUCUGUUGUUAGGGAAGAACAAGUGCCGUUCAAAUAGGGCGGCACCUUGACGGUACCUAACCAGAAAGCCACGGCUAACUACGUGCCAGCAGCCGCGGUAAUACGUAGGUGGCAAGCGUUGUCCGGAAUUAUUGGGCGUAAAGGGCUCGCAGGCGGUUUCUUAAGUCUGAUGUGAAAGCCCCCGGCUCAACCGGGGAGGGUCAUUGGAAACUGGGGAACUUGAGUGCAGAAGAGGAGAGUGGAAUUCCACGUGUAGCGGUGAAAUGCGUAGAGAUGUGGAGGAACACCAGUGGCGAAGGCGACUCUCUGGUCUGUAACUGACGCUGAGGAGCGAAAGCGUGGGGAGCGAAACAGGAUUAGAUACCCUGGUAGUCCACGCCGUAAACGAUGAGUGCUAAGUGUUAGGGGGUUUCCGCCCCUUAGUGCUGCAGCUAACGCAUUAAGCACUCCGCCUGGGGAGUACGGUCGCAAGACUGAAACUCAAAGGAAUUGACGGGGGCCCGCACAAGCGGUGGAGCAUGUGGUUUAAUUCGAAGCAACGCGAAGAACCUUACCAGGUCUUGACAUCCUCUGACAAUCCUAGAGAUAGGACGUCCCCUUCGGGGGCAGAGUGACAGGUGGUGCAUGGUUGUCGUCAGCUCGUGUCGUGAGAUGUUGGGUUAAGUCCCGCAACGAGCGCAACCCUUGAUCUUAGUUGCCAGCAUUCAGUUGGGCACUCUAAGGUGACUGCCGGUGACAAACCGGAGGAAGGUGGGGAUGACGUCAAAUCAUCAUGCCCCUUAUGACCUGGGCUACACACGUGCUACAAUGGACAGAACAAAGGGCAGCGAAACCGCGAGGUUAAGCCAAUCCCACAAAUCUGUUCUCAGUUCGGAUCGCAGUCUGCAACUCGACUGCGUGAAGCUGGAAUCGCUAGUAAUCGCGGAUCAGCAUGCCGCGGUGA